AGGAGGGGGCUGGUCCCCAGUUGCAUUGCUCUCCAGGGCGCUGCCUGUUGAAGCUUACUGCUUUUGUGCGACUUUGAGGUAUGUUCAGGUGCCCUCUGAGAAAGUUCUGACUUCAUGUGGGUCUGCCUAUAGGGUGGAAGUACCAGUGUGAAGCUUGUGGGCCCUGCACUUCAUUGGUUUUUGUUAUUGAUAAACUGACUUUGUGUGUCCAAUUCAGGCUCGGACUGUUUGGAUUGUUUGAGUCUGGUCACUUACAGAGGCUUCCUCGGUCUGAAAAGCAGACAGCGGCUGCAGGGACCAGCACCCAACUAGAAGUGUACCAACAGGCCUGUGGACUGUGGAGUGUGACGUAGAAUCAGUGUGUGACGUCACCACCUCUCUGGUUGCUCUUGGCUUCAAAACCACUGUUGAAGAAGCAUCUGUGGGGAAUCCCAAAGGGACAUUGCUGAGAUGUUGCAGGCCUGGAAGUGGAACACCAG